rnacentral:tRNA from 1 species
GCCAAAAAGAUAAAUCAAAACAAUAUGACGGACUGAAAAUCCGCGUGUCGGUGGUUCGAAUCCGCCUCUGGGCACCA